rnacentral:rRNA from 1 species
ACGGCGAGUGAAGCGGGAACAGCUCAGACUGAAAAUCCUUGAGUGGAAUUGUAGUCUGUCGAAGCUCAGUCAACGCUAGCAGCAGGCUAAGUCCCUUGGAACAGGGCGCCUGAGAGGGUGACAGCCCCGUAUUUGCCGGCUGCUAUUGAAAACAGCGUGUACGACGAGCUUUCAACGAGUCGAGUUGCUUGGGAUUGCAGCUCAAAGCGGGUGGUAAAUUCCAUCUAAAGCUAAAUAACGGUGGGAGACCGAUAGCGAACAAGUACCGUGAGGGAAAGAUGAAAAGAACUUUGGAAAGAGAGUUAAACAGUACGUGAAAUUGUUAAAAGGGAAACGAUUGAAGUCAGUCGUGUUUAUUGGAUUCAGCCGGUCUUCGGUGUACUUCCUUUAAACGGGUCAACAUCAGUUUUGUUCGGUGGAUAAAGGUAUUAGGAAUGUGGCUUCUUCGGAAGUGUUAUAGCCUAGUAUUGCAUACACUGGAGGAGACUGAGGACUGCAGCUCGCCUUUAUGGCC